GUCGAGGGCUGUCGCCAUGCCGUGGGGGAGCGCCAGAGGUUGGGCUGUGUGUACAAGUAUUAGCAGUGACUGCGGAAAAGGCGCUACUGCUGCUGCUCACCCAGUCCACUCUGGCCCUUAUGCGACCUGAAACCCCCCCAAGGGAUAGCCUGCGUGUGCGCCAUGGCCUUGCUGAUGAGAUGAAUUCCUUCUUCACCCGAUGGCUAGGGAGGCGUCCAGCGGCAUCUCCUCUCCCAAGCAGCAGUUCGACAGCCUCGGGAACCAGCUGCACUGCCCAGGUCGACCUCACGUACCUGCGGCUUGCCCAGCAGCUGGUAGCAAGGCUUGCUUCCAAUAAGUGAUUUGCAAGUGUGCAUAUAUAUACAUGAUUCAUGUAUGUUUAGGUGAAAUUUUGACUUCAUGGAUGUUUGUCAGUGCACUCUAACAAGAGAGAGAUUGAAACAAUGAAAUAGAUAAAAUAAUGAAUAAUACGUUGUGAUGACUCUGAAGUUAAUUGUCUUUUGUACUUGAAUUCUUUAAUACAAUAUUUUUAUGAUAUUUUAUAUCCUUGUUGAAGAUGCAAGAUAGAGAGAAUUUGAAUUUCAGAUAACAAUAAGAAGUGUUUUUGAUUAUGAUAUACUUAUUUUCAUAUAGUUAUGAUUAUUAUAAUUAUGAUUAUUGAUAUUAUUAUUAUUAUUGUUGUUAGUGUCAUUAUGAUUUUUGUUAUUGUUGUUCUGUAUAUUUGUAUAAGUAUUUUUGAAUAUUAUUUUUCAAUAUUUUUUUUUAUCAAAGUUUCCAAGCCAGUUUCACAAGAAGUAAUCCCAGUCUUUCAGCCCGAUAGAUAUUUUCCAAUUUAUUUAUACUGUUGUGCUUUCUGUCGCCUAGUGUGUUUUUGUACAUUUUAAUGAGAAAAUUGAAUAAAGUUCAAAUAUUU